AUGCCACUGCAUUCUCUAAAUCAAAUUUUGCUUGGUUGCUCCCCUGGUGAUCCUGUUUGUUGUGGUUGGUGCUUCAGGUUUGCUCCUCCUCCCCUCUUUCACCAGAUUUUCUCAAUAUGGCCAUUACACACAAUCAAGAUGUGUACAACUACAAGAAGAUCCAGGUUUAAAUAUAACAUGUCAUACCAUAUGAUAAUGCUACUCCGUCUACACUAG
rnacentral:rRNA from 1 species